GUUGACGGGUCCCGGCGAGAAGAUUCAAAUGAUGGAUCGAGAGAAGUGUGACGGCUAUGAAUCGGACCCCGCCCGCCAGAAAAGCCUACAGCCCGUGUCUCAACAUGCGGAAGAAGGAGGUCAAGUCUGAGAUUCAGAACAAGAACAAAUGACUGGAUGGUGAGACGUGUGCAGACCUGUAGGUGGCGCGUGGAGCUGCCACAUGGAGGCAUAUUGCCUUCUCACUGGGCUCAUUACAUCAUAGUUCCUCUGGUACAGAAACACAUGGACACAGAGACACUUUCCUUCAGCCCCUUACAUAGAAACCAUCAUGUGUUUGACUGUUAACUUCUUUUCCAUCAUUCUUGGUGAUUAGUUAGGUUUUUCUUUCCCUUUUUGAAGACAUGAUUUGGCCACUCCCACCCAGUGAUGAUGUCAUGAUGCAGCAAGUGAUUUUUCUGAUUUUCAACUUUCAUUUAGUAUGUAGUUUAAAUGAUUCAGUUUGUUUUAACUAAAUAAUGAAUAAAGGUGUAUAUCAUCAUCAUCAUCA